rnacentral:rRNA from 1 species
AGAACGAACGCUGGCGGCAUGCCUAACACAUGCAAGUCGAACGUGAUCCAGGCUUCGGCCUGGUGAAAGUGGCAGACGGGUGAGUAACGCGUGGGAACCUGCCCUGUGGUAGGGAAUAACCGUGGGAAACUGCGGCUAAUACCCUAUGAGUCCUUCGGGAGAAAGAUUUAUCGCCAUAGGAGGGGCCCGCGUCGGAUUAGGUAGUUGGUGGGGUAACGGCCUACCAAGCCUUCGAUCCGUAGCUGGUCUGAGAGGAUGAUCAGCCACACUGGGACUGAGAUACGGCCCAGACUCCUACGGGAGGCAGCAGUGGGGAAUAUUGGACAAUGGGGGCAACCCUGAUCCAGCAAUGCCGCGUGGAUGAUGAAGGCCUUCGGGUUGUAAAGUCCGUUUCGGCGGGGAAGAUGAUGACGGUACCCGCAGAAGAAGCCCCGGCUAACUUCGUGCCAGCAGCCGC